GUCAGUCAAUACACUGACAAAAGUCUGUGUCAGGUAUAUGUAUAAAAUAUCUGACUUUAUCUUUUGUAACAAGAUCUUUAAUUACUCUGAAAUAACAUCUUUCUACCUCUAAUAAUCUUUACAUGGUAUCAAUCGGGUAAGAAAUUCUAAAUAAAUUUUCGUUCGAUCCUAACCUAAAUUAUUCAAUCACACUUUCAAACUUUCUGCAUUAUCAAUCUUCAUAUCUUCAACCGUAUUUUUCAAUCUUCUAAAUUUCUUCAAUUAAACUUCAAAACCCUAUCUGUUCUUGAAUAACUCAGUUAUUCUUUUCUGAAAAUUUCUUCAAUUAAAUCGUUACUGGUGAAGAACAAUAUCAACAUCAAUUUUGUCUUCCGCUGCUGAAGGAGCUACUUCUGACAUUGGAUAAAUAUUUUUCAAUCCAAAGUUUUGAAAUAUGGGGAGCUUCUGUUAUUGAAUGAUGUUUCUAUUGAAUGUUUUGUCCCAAAGAUGUAUUUUCAGUGGGUAGACAUGAAUUACAACAACAUCAUACCAACUAGUCGUAUGAGAACUGAAGCAAAUUGAAGGCCAGAACUUACUGCAACAACAACAACAAUGUCAACUUCUUAUCGAAAGAAUCAACUAAUCAACAACAAUAGCAGCAACUUCAACAUUAAUCUGACAGCAGUAGCAUCUUCCGGGUAAUAUCAACAUUCAUAUGGGUAAUAACUUUUUAAUAACAAUUUUCCCCAUUUAUUCAUUGUUACUUCUUUUUAAUGUGUGUUUAGCAUAUGAAGUAAUUAUUUUCAACACCUAACUGGUUCUAAAAACAUUUUAAUAACCAGUUAUAUGACUUGUUACUUCAAAACAAGUCAUAUCAAUACCUUUAUAGAUCUGGUCUUACAAACACCAGUUCCUAAAUAUCAAUUUGAGUCUCUUAACCAACAGAGAACACCAAAAACAAUUUGAGUCUCUUAACCAACAGAGAACACCAAAACAAAUACCGGAAGCUACUAUUUCUGUUGUUGUUCAACUUGUAUUGCUGCUAGUUCUAUUGUUACAUAAAAAGGUUCAACGAUUUCCACUUCAUCAUAUUGUGUAUAAGUAAUGCUACGCGCAAUUAUUGCUAGUUCUGUUUCUACAACUGUUGGUAACCUUGAUGCCACAACUGGUGCUACUUCUUCACCUUAGAUUUUGGUUAAGGGUUUCUCAAUAAAUUUUUCAGUAUGUUUUAUUCUACUUACUACAUCAACUAUCCGGAGCUCAUACUUCCGUUGUGUAACUUCUUCAUCUGAUGCUGCUUAUCCUUCAUCAACUAUUAGCUGUUCUAUUCUGCUGUAUAUGGUGAGUGUGGUGCAUUUUUAAUAUUGCAGUCCAUUGUUGCCAUGGUUCUGCCUCAACUAUUUAUUCAACAAGUUCAGUCUUGGGACAUGGUGAUGAGUUCAGUUUCUCAAAAUUCUGGUGCUAGUAUUUGUUGUUGCAGUUUACUCUUGUUCCUUCUCUGGUUGCGUCAGUUUGAGAAGGGAAAUUGUUUUCCUGUUAAUAGUUUAUACCUUGUCAGGCUUUUUCUUGUUGUCGUCUGUUUGUGUUGUUCGAGUACUUGUUACAUCAAACUGAUUCUUUGUUGUUAUCAGUUUGAGGGGGUAUAUGUAUUUGUUUCUAGUUGUGCUAUGUUCAAGCCUUUACUCUGUUUGUAAAGGCUUGAGGGGGUAUGUAAGAGUAUAUGGUCAAUGUCAGUCAAUACACUGACAAAAGUUUGUGUCAGGUAUAUGUAUAAAUACCCGACUUUAUCUCUUGUAACAAGAUCUUUAAUUACUCUGAAAUAAUAUCUUUCUACCUCUAA